rnacentral:snRNA from 1 species
UUAUGAUGAAUGUGUUACAACA